GGCGCUAUGGUGUAGUGGCAGCACUUGGGAUUUUGAUCAUUCGAAUCUUCCCACAACCCAGGUUCGAACCCUGGUAGUGCCU